GCUUUUAAUGGAUAACAGUUUUCCUUUGGUCUUAGGCUCCAACCUCCUUGGUGCAAAUCCAAGUAAAAGCU
rnacentral:tRNA from 1 species